UCUCUCUGAUGUCUAUGCCGAAAGAGAAUAUAGGCUACUUGGUUAAUCCAACGACCGAACCCUUAUGUGUAGAGAGGCUUGCCUAAUCUGCCAAGGACCAAUCAAUUUUUUUGUACUUGUUACCUCCAUCAUCAAUAAACUAUAUCGCUUUUCCCAAAAACAAAAACAAAGGAAUGAUGGUAACCGCCAUGUUGCUCCAGUACAGUGCUACGUAUAUUGCAAGGUCUGAUCACGAAUCUCCUUGAACUAUUGGGAAUCAACCGCAUACGUGAAAUAAAAUUGAUCCAUUCUCAAUCCCUUGGACUUCUAGAUCACAUGUGUGAAGUGAUAAAACAUU